rnacentral:misc_RNA from 1 species
CUUCAAAUGCCAAAUGUGCGCAGUAAUAGCCAAAUUCUUGACAUGAAUUCGCUAAGCUCUCGGAAGAAAAAAAUUCACUAAGCUCAUGCCGGCUGGUCGUGGUGGCCCAUCCUUUCAUCCUUUUUACCUAAGCUUACUUCCUAAACGCCAAAGAAGCAUAAGCUAUGGCAGAGCAAAACCCAACAGAGGAAUCAGCCAGGACCUGCCUUCUUACUCGUUUGCUCAGAAAACCAACAGAAAGGGACACUUCAAGAGGAUUAUACGCAUCACCCUCAUCACAAGUGAAUUAGUGGGUAUAUUCGAUG